rnacentral:rRNA from 1 species
CCUACGGGAGGCAGCAGCUAAGAAUAUUCCGCAAUGGGCGAAAGCCUGACGGAGCGACGCCGCGUGGAGGAUGAAGGCCUUCGGGUUGUAAACUCCUUUUCCUGGGGAAGAAUAAAGUCAGGAGUAACUGUCUGACUGAUGACGGUACCCAGGGAAUAAGCCCCGGCUAAUUACGUGCCAGCAGCCGCGGUAAUACGUAUGGGGCAAGCGUUGUUCGGAUUCACUGGGCGUAAAGGGCGUGUAGGUGGUGUGGUAAGUCGGAGGUGAAAUCUCCAGGCUCAACCUGGAAAUUGCAUUCGAAACUGCCGUGCUUGAGUACCAGAGAGGGAGACGGAAUUCCUGGUGUAGGGGUGAAAUCUGUAGAUAUCAGGAAGAACACCGGUGGCGAAGGCGGUCUCCUGGCUGGAUACUGACACUGAGGCGCGAAAGCUAGGGGAGCAAACAGGAUUAGAUCCCCCUGUAGU